ACUCCUCUGGUGCAACCGAUUUGCAGGUAAUUCCUUUUAUGCUCGGAUUUAUUCUUCGCCAAAUUUUUGUUCUUCGUCCUCAGUUUUUAUUAUGAAUUUGGAUGAUGGGUUUUGUUGGAUUUUGGUUGUUCUUAUGGGUUUUGUUGUUCCCCCAACAAAGAGGAUGUGAGAGUAAAAAAGAAAGAGAGAGAAGAGAACAGGAAAUAAGAGAAAGAAGAAUAAGAAGAAGGAGACGAAAAGCUCUCUGGGUUUUCUUUGAUCUGUUGCUGACCAAAGGAAGAUUCGUCUUCAGCUGACCAAGCCUGUUACUUAGCCUCCAUUGGUAUGGGGAGUUUGCGGAGCUACUGCCUCUGUUCAGGAACUGCAGAAAAUAAAGGAAGAGUUGUUGGAGUUGUAAAGGAAGAGACCACUAGAUCCCCUAGCUGAGGAACUUCACGAACAAAG